rnacentral:pre_miRNA from 1 species
AAUGUACUCCCUCCGUUUCAUAAUUCUUGUCUCAAAUUUGUCCAAAUAUGGAUGUAUCUAUUCCUAAAAAAUGUCUAGAUACAUGUAAUAUUUCGACAAGAAUUAUGAAACGGAAGAAGUAUCUU